AUUGAACGCUGGCGGCAGGCCUAACACAUGCAAGUCGAACGAGUGGCGGACGGGUGACUAAUGUCUGGGAAACUCUCUGCUUCAGGGUGAUACUUACUGGCAACGGUAGCUAAUACCUCAUCCCAUCAACUGUCUCCACAUGGGCUUAGCUUGUUGGUGGGGUAACGGCUCACCAAGGCUACGAUGCCUAGCUGGUCUGAGAGGGUGACCAGCCACACUGGAACUGAGACACGGUCCAGACUCCUACGGGAGGCAGCAGUGGGGAAUAUUGCACAAUGGGCGAAAGCCUGAUGCAGCAAUGCCGCGUGUGUGAAGAAGGCUUUCGGGUUGUAAAGUACUUUCGUCAGGGAGGCGUUACCCAAAGAGAAAGCACCGGCUAACUACGUGCCAGCAGCCGCGGUAAUUC
rnacentral:rRNA from 1 species